rnacentral:rRNA from 1 species
UACUAGAGUAGCACUCGCAUAUCAAUAAGCGGAGGAAAAGAAACUAACAAGGAUUCCCCUAGUAACGGCGAGUGAAGCGGGAAGAGCUCAAAUUUGAAAUCUUAAAGGGUUUCCCUUUACGAAUUGUAGUUUAAAGAAGUGUUUUCUGUUGAGGUUUUGGUAAAAGUUCUUUGGAAUAGGACAUCAUAGAGGGUGAGAAUCCCGUAUUUGACCUUUACUUUCAACUUUGUGAUACACUUUCAAAGAGUCGGAUUGUCUGGGAAUGCAGUCCAAAAUGGGUGGUAAAUUUCAUCUAAAGCUAAAUAUUGGCGAGAGACCGAUAGCGAACAAGUACCGUGAGGGAAAGAUGAAAAGAACUUUGAAAGGAGAGUUAAACAGUACGUGAAAUUGUCAAAAGGGAAGCGUUUGACACCAGUGUUGUUUUUCUGAAAAUCAAUUAAAGAACUGUUUAUGCUAAGCUGUUUAGACUUUAUCAGCUAUCUGUUUAGUUUUGAGCUUUUCUUUAAUGCACUUUUCAGUUAACAAGUCAACAUCAAUUUCUUUUGCUGUAAAAAAGCUUGAGGAAGGUGGCUUGAGAUUCGUCUUAAGUGUUUAUAGCCUCUUGCCUAUGCAGUCGGAGAGAUUGAGGUCUGCAGCGUAGAUCCUUCGGGGCUAAAUGCAUUUGUGCUAAGUUAUAGCAUUUUAUAGACAACUUGUUGACUAUGAUUUGUCUUGUAGCUUACUCGCUUAUGUUAUUUUACCUACGCUUAGGAUGUUGAGCGCAUGUCUCUCUCU